rnacentral:rRNA from 1 species
CUUGCUAUCCAGAGAGCGGCGUACGGGUGCGUAACACGUGUGCAACCUGCCUUUAUCUGGGGGAUAGCCUUUCGAAAGGAAGAUUAAUACCCCAUAAUAUGGUGUCCGGCAUCGGUCGCCAUUGAAAGCCUCGGCGGAUAGAGAUGGGCACGCGCAAGAUUAGAUAGUUGGCGGGGUAACGGCCCACCAAGUCGAUGAUCUUUAGGGGUCCUGAGAGGGAGAUCCCCCACACUGGUACUGAGACACGGACCAGACUCCUACGGGAGGCAGCAGUGAGGAAUAUUGGACAAUGGGUGGAAGCCUGAUCCAGCCAUCCCGCGUGAAGGAUGACGGUCCUAUGGAUUGUAAACUUCUUUUGUACAGGGAUAAACCUGCCCUCGUGAGGGCAGCUGAAGGUACUGUACGAAUAAGCACCGGCUAACUCCGUGCCAGCAGCCGCGGUAAUACGGAGGGUGCGAGCGUUACCCGGAUUUAUUGGGUUUAAAGGGUCCGUAGGCGGGCCUGUAAGUCAGUGGUGAAAUCUCAUAGCUUAACUAUGAAACUGCCAUUGAUACUGCAGGCCUUGAGUAAAUUUGAAGUGGCUGGAAUAAGUAGUGUAGCGGUGAAAUGCAUAGAUAUUACUUAGAACACCGAUUGCGAAGGCAGGUCACUAAGAUUUAACUGACGCUGAUGGACGAAAGCGUGGGGAGCGAACAGGAUUAGAUACCCUGGUAGUCCACGCCGUAAACGAUGCUAACUCGUUUUUGGAUCUUCGGGUUCAGAGACCAAGCGAAAGUGAUAAGUUAGCCACCUGGGGAGUACGUCCGCAAGGAUGAAACUCAAAGGAAUUGACGGGGGCCCGCACAAGCGGUGGAUUAUGUGGUUUAAUUCGAUGAUACGCGAGGAACCUUACCAAGACUUAAAUGGGAAUUGACAGAUUUAGAAAUAGAUCCUCCUUCGGGCAAUUUUCAAGGUGCUGCAUGGUUGUCGUCAGCUCGUGCCGUGAGGUGUUAGGUUAAGUCCUGCAACGAGCGCAACCCCUGCCAACAGUUGCCAUCAUUCAGUUGGGGACUCUGUUGGGACUGCCUACGCAAGUAGAGAGGAAGGUGGGGAUGACGUCAAAUCAUCACGGCCCUUACGUCUUGGGCCACACACGUAAUACAAUGGCCGGUACAGAGGGCAGCUACCUGGUGACAGGAUGCGAAUCUCGAAAGCCGGUCUCAGUUCGGAUUGGAGUCUGCAACUCGACUCUAUGAAGCUGGAAUCGCUAGUAAUCGCGCAUCAGCCAUGGCGCGGUGAAUACGUUCCCGGGCC